GCCGCUAUGGUGAAAUUGGUAGACACGCUGCUCUUAGGAAGCAG
rnacentral:tRNA from 40 species